rnacentral:rRNA from 1 species
AUUGAACGCUGGCGGCAGGCCUAACACAUGCAAGUCGAACGAGUGGCGGACGGGUGAGUAAUGUCUGUGAAACUGCCUGAUGGAGGGGGAUAACUACUGGAAACGGUAGCUAAUACCGCAUACAAUCAGAAGUACCCAGAUGGGAUUAGCUUGUUGGUGGGGUAACGGCUCACCAAGGGGACGAUCUCUAGCUGGCCUGAGAGGAUGACCAGCCACACUGGAACGGAUACACGGUCCAGCUUCCUACGUGAGUCAGCAGUGGGGAGUAUUGCACAGUGGGCGCAAGCCUGAUGCAGCCAUGCCGCGUGUAUGAAGAAGGCCUUCGGGUUGUAAAGUACUUUCAGCGGGGAGGCGUUACCCGCAGAAGAAGCACCGGCUAACUCCGUGCCAGCAGCCGCGGUAAUUC